rnacentral:tRNA from 1 species
CAGGGAGACAACAAAAUGUUAAAUAUUAAUUUUGUCACCUUAGGUCGAUCGGUAUCUCACAUUCUUGAUUUUUUAAGAAUUUCAUUUCCUAAGUUUUUCUAGGUCACACCCAUUACUUUUCCUGGGCCAUUAGCUCAGGUGGUUAGAGCGCACCCCUGAUAAGGGUGAGGUCCCUGGUUCAAGUCCAGGAUGGCCCAUAUCUCUAUGUUGGGGGUAUAGCUCAGUUGGUAGAGCGCCUGCUUUGCAAGCAGGAUGUCAGCGGUUCGAGUCCGCUUACCUCCACUGAUCACCACCUCUUCCAUAAUUUAUAGAAGGGAAAUGUUUUUGAGUUUUGAUCAAAUUCUGAACGAAUCUAGCUUCCUAAUUAAUACUAUUAAGAUGCUGGACUCAUUGAAUUUAAUUCAUUGUUUUCAGAGAACCUUGACAACUGCAUAGAUUAUUUUUAAAGACAAUAAGCAUCUUUAAUGAUGCAGAUUUAUUAUUUGUGCAAAUGCAUUAAUAACAAUUCUAUUAAGCUGAUGCUUCAAUUUUUGAAGUUAUU